GAGAAAUCUAGCAACCUGCAAAAAGAAUUUUUAGGCAGAGUAUCAGUAACAGUUUAAAAAUAAAAUUCAAAUCCAGUAACCAAUACUCAUUUCCAUCAUGCAACAAACCAACAAUAGGUUCACCACGUAUAUACAUAACCCAAUUUGUCCUGGAUCUCUUUUGUGCAAGCAUGUCCCAAAUCUAGCUAUGCUAAAUGAAUAAGAAUGUAAUGGAAAAUCAGCAGAGUGCUGACUUCAAUAAAUGGAAUUUAACUACAACUUCUUCCACUCAAAUGAAAUUUCCUAGAAGUAUAAGGAUCAGGAGACUUAAUUUAUAGUUGGCCCCCUUAUGCAGGACUGUCAGAUUACUAAAUAGAAAUUUUAGGAUUUAGUAUAGCAUGCAUUCAGUCAUGACUACAAAAGUAUUCUUAUGGAUUCGUCAAUUUUAGACGACUAUUGAUUGAAUGGGCAAUAAUGUUAAAUAUUCAGACUUUUUUUUUUUGGUC
rnacentral:misc_RNA from 1 species